GGAGUCUGGUCCGUGUCUCAGUACCAGUGUGGGGGACCUUCCUCUCAGAACCCCUACCGAUCGAUGCCCCGGUGGGCCGUUACCCCGCCGACUACCUAAUCCUACGCAUCGCCAUCCCUUACCGAUAAAUCUUUCAUACUCUUCUGAUGCCAUCUAAAUAUAUAUCGGGCAUUAAUUCGGUUUUCACCGGGCUAUUCCCGAGUAAGGGGAAGGUUCGAUACGCGUUACGCACCCGUGCGCCGGUCGCCAUCAACAAGUGCAAGCACUCGUCAUGCUGCCCCUCGACUUGCAUGUGUUAAGCCUGUAGCUAGCGUUCAUC
rnacentral:rRNA from 1 species